GACGAACCGAGCGAACGUUGUUCGGAAUCACUGGGCUUAAAGGGCGCAUAGGCGGGCUGCAAAGUCCGGGGUGAAAGCCCCCCGCUCAACGGGGGAACGGCCUCGGAUACUGGCGGUCUGGAGGCGGGUAGGGGCAGGCGGAACUGUGGGUGGAGCGGUGAAAUGCGUUGAGAUCCACAGGAACUCCGGUGGCGAAGGCGGCCUGCUGGACCCGAACUGACGCUGAGGAGCGAAAGCCAGGGAGCAAACGGG
rnacentral:rRNA from 1 species